GGGAGUGUAGCUCAGUGGUAGAGCACUUGCCUGGCAUUCUCAAGGUUUUAGGUUUGAACCCUACCACUGACU
rnacentral:tRNA from 1 species